UGCAAAUCAAAUUAACUUAGAUAAGGUACCAUUCUCUUUUUCGGAUUACAAACAUAGUGAUUUCGUGGAUGUAUUUCAAGAAUCUACAGAAAGUGAGAAUGAACAUGGUAUGUGGACAGCCGAUGACACCUACCUCAGAGACAAGUGGAUCAGCGAUGAUGAGCUUGCAGGGCCGUCGCACGCUGUACCCCCGACUGGGCAUGGUAUACAGAUUAUUUCUGAAAGGGAUUUAACUCAGUUGACUCUGAUUCGGCCAUUAAAAUUCAGUUUUCACGAGCAAUCAGACAUCAAGAAUGAUUUUCAAAUACUUCAGAAAAGGAUAGAAGAACAAGAAAUCAUUCAGGAGUAUAUGGCUUUGGACAAUAAGAAUAUGCAUUAUGAGUUCAACUGUGGGAAUGAACUAUGCAACAGAGACAAAAACAGAUAUCGAGACAUCC